GAUAACUUCGCGGAAACCGGAGCUAAUACCGGAUAAUUUCUUUCUUCACAUGGAGAGAGGUUGAAAGACGGCUUUGCUGUCACUUACAGAUGGGCCCGCGGCGCAUUAGCUAGUUGGUGAGGUAACGGCUCACCAAGGCCACGAUGCGUAGCCGACCUGAGAGGGUGAUCGGCCACACUGGGACUGAGACACGGCCCAGACUCCUACGGGAGGCAGCAGUAGGGAAUCUUCCGCAAUGGACGAAAGUCUGACGGAGCAACGCCGCGUGAGUGAAGAAGGUCUUCGGAUCGUAAAACUCUGUUAUCAGGGAAGAACAAGUACCGGAGUUACUGCCGGUACCUUGACGGUACCUGACCAGAAAGCCACGGCUAACUACGUGCCAGCAGCCGCGGUAAUACGUAGGUGGCAAGCGUUGUCCGGAAUUAUUGGGCGUAAAGCGCGCGCAGGCGGUUCUUUAAGUCUGAUGUGAAAUCUUGCGGCUCAACCGUGAGCGGUCAUUGGAAACUGGAGAACUUGAGUGCAGAAGAGAAGAGCGGAAUUCCACGUGUAGCGGUGAAAUGCGUAGAGAUGUGGAGGAACACCAGUGGCGAAGGCGGCUCUUUGGUCUGUAACUGACGCUGAGGCGCGAAAGCGUGGGGAGCGAACAGGAUUAGAUACCCUGGUAGUCCACGCCGUAAACGAUGAGUGCUAAGUGUUAGAGGGUUUCCGCCCUUUAGUGCUGCAGCAAACGCAUUAAGCACUCCGCCUGGGGAGUACGGCCGCAAGGCUGAAACUCAAAGGAAUUGACGGGGGCCCGCACAAGCGGUGGAGCAUGUGGUUUAAUUCGAAGCAACGCGAAGAACCUUACCAGGUCUUGACAUCCUUAUGCCUGCCCUAGAGAUAGGGAGUUCCCUUCGGGGACAUAAGUGACAGGUGGUGCAUGGUUGUCGUCAGCUCGUGUCGUGAGAUGUUGGGUUAAGUCCCGCAACGAGCGCAACCCUUGAAAUUAGUUGCCAGCAUUUAGUUGGGCACUCUAAUUUGACUGCCGGUGACAAACCGGAGGAAGGUGGGGAUGACGUCAAAUCAUCAUGCCCCUUAUGACCUGGGCUACACACGUGCUACAAUGGAUGGUACAGAGGGCUGCGAGACCGCGAGGUUUAGCCAAUCCCUUAAAACCAUUCUCAGUUCGGAUUGCAGGCUGCAACUCGCCUGCAUGAAGCCGGAAUCGCUAGUAAUCGCGGAUCAGCAUGCCGCGGUGA
rnacentral:rRNA from 1 species